UACGUAGGGGGCAAGUGUUGUCCGGAAUUAUUGGGCGUAAAGCGCGCGCAGGCGGUCUCUUAAGUCUGAUGUGAAAGCCCACGGCUCAACCGUGGAGGGUCAUUGGAAACUGGGGGACUUGAGUGUAGGAGAGGAAAGUGGAAUUCCACGUGUAGCGGUGAAAUGCGUAGAGAUGUGGAGGAACACCAGUGGCGAAGGCGACUUUCUGGCCUAUAACUGACGCUGAAGCAUGAAAGCGUGGGUAGCAAAC
rnacentral:rRNA from 1 species